rnacentral:lncRNA from 1 species
ACCAGGGGAGCUGCUGGCCACUGAGGGUGGCUCCCACAGCCCUUCCUUCCUGUCCUGCGGCCCUUAAGGAGACCUGGAGGGGGUUGGUCACCAAGGGCUGUUCUGCCAGGUGAUGGCGGGGUGAUGGCUUUCAUCACCUUGGUGGUGGUGACACCAGGAACCGACUCUGCUCCCUGCAACCCGUGUCCCCACCUGACCCCAGCCUUAUCUCCAGGGCCGGCCUGCCAUGAGGCCGCCCCACGUCAGCAACCCCCAUUGCAAUCUCUCAGACUCGUGCUCACCACUUCCUGGAUCAUUCAGAACUACCAAUUGCAAAGAAUCAAGUUAUCCACCGGAGAGCCAUGGAAAGUUCCGGACUAACCACAGUCCGUCCAGAGAAAAGCAGGUUCUCAGUCUGCCGGUCCCCGUGCCCACAUUCACAAGAUAAUUGCACACAUUUGCAACUAGGAACACAGGACACAGAAGCGGGGCACCCUGCAGGACGUGGCAGGUCCUCGUCAAUAGCAGUGACGAGGCCUUCCCCACCUCUCCUCCAGCUCCCGCAGCCUCCUCAUGAUGCCAGCUCCCUGUGCUGUGCAGCCCCCCAGCACAGCCUGCCCUCUGUGAGCCCAGCUGCUCCCUGGUGGCCCGGCUACUCACUGGAGUCUCCCUCCCAGGCUCCAGAUUCCCGGACACUCUGAUCUGCACACGUGUGGGACGUCCCCCCACCUUGAGGACAACUAGACUCUCUACUUCCAAACCUCCACUUGCAGUUUCUCCAUCAGAUUUCUCCUCAAUGUUGAUGGGUAGAAUUGGGGAGGGGGGGAGGCAAGUACUGACUUUGGGGGCUGGGAUUGUGGCUCAGCGGUAGAGAGCCUGCCUAGCACGUGCGAGGCCCUGGGUUCGAUCCUCAGCACCACAUAAAAAUAAAUAAAAUAAAGGUAUUGUGUCCAAC